rnacentral:rRNA from 1 species
UAACUGAAGAGUUUGAUCAUGGCUCAGAUUGAACGCUGGCGGCAGGCUUAACACAUGCAAGUCGAGCGGGGGAAGGUAGCUUGCUACCGGACCUAGCGGCGGACGGGUGAGUAAUGCUUAGGAAUCUGCCUAUUAGUGGGGGACAACAUCUCGAAAGGGAUGCUAAUACCGCAUACGUCCUACGGGAGAAAGCAGGGGAUCUUCGGACCUUGCGCUAAUAGAUGAGCCUAAGUCGGAUUAGCUAGUUGGUGGGGUAAAGGCCUACCAAGGCGACGAUCUGUAGCGGGUCUGAGAGGAUGAUCCGCCACACUGGGACUGAGACACGGCCCAGACUCCUACGGGAGGCAGCAGUGGGGAAUAUUGGACAAUGGGGGGAACCCUGAUCCAGCC